AGUGUGGAAGGUGUUCAGGUUGACGGUCAGUGCAGAGACAGCGUCCUUUGUCCUCGGGCGGGAGUGACCAUUUGAAUUCCUGAACCAAAUGGCCUUCGAAGAAACACUGAAUUUCUUUUAGAAGGAGCUCUGACACUGCCGGGCUUGCAGAAUUUCCCGCAACUAUUGAGUACGGACUAGUACAGAACUAGCACAAUGUUGAAGUGUUCAGAAGACAUCCUUGCCUUGUUCUCAACUUUAGUAGAAAUGCAGUAUCUUUCACUCGACAUUGUGGGAGCAGAAGGAAAAUUGAUACUGCUUCUUGGUGUGGAGAAGCAUGUGGAAGAGCUCUGAGUAGAUUCUCCUUGAGACAUGUCAUUAUCUGCAAUUGAAACAUGAUCAGAGAAAAGCCCCGGCUCCUUGCGGGCACUGUGUCGCUGGACACUUUGAGAGUUCGCCCCUGCGCAGGUUAAACUUGGCCAAUAAAGUAACAUCUUUGAUACCCUGAAAGUCUCCGAUAUUCGUUCUCGAGUUUGCUGGAUGCUACAAUGACCCACUCUGACUCUGGGAAACCACAAGCAGUUCCACCUGUGUGCCCCAGGAAGCCUGCAAAUAAUGAAGAUGGUAUCUGAGCCACUGCGUUCCAGGGAGAGAUGCUCACUGCCUAGGUAGACAGAUAAAGAACUACCUAUCAACAAAUGAAAGAAUACUGCAGCUUUUUUUCUGAUUAAAUUUUUCCCUGAAUGCCAAACCCCUUACCUAUACCUUUCUUCUCCUUAUAAAAAAGGUU